CCUACGGGAGGCUGCAGUGGGGGAUAUUGCACAAUGGGGGGAACCCUGAUGCAGCGACGCAGCGUGGGUGAAGAAGGGCCUCGGCGCGUAAAGCCCUGUCAGCAGGGAAGAAAAUGACGGUACCUGAAGAAGAAGCCACGGCUAACUACGUGCCAGCAGCCGCGGUAAUACGUAGGGGGCAAGCGUUAUCCGGAUUUACUGGGUGUAACGGGGGCGCAGACGGCGAUGCAAGCCAGGAGUGAAAGCCCGGGGCCCAACCCCGGGACUGCUCUUGGAACUGCGUGGCUGGAGUGCAGGAGGGGCAGGCGGAAUUCCUGGUGUAGCGGUGAAAUGCUUAGAUAUCAGGAGGAACACCGGUGGCGAAGGCGGCCUGCUGGACUGCAACUGACGUUGAGGCCCGAAAGCGUGGGUAGCAAACAGGAUUAGAUACCCUUGUAGUC
rnacentral:rRNA from 1 species